rnacentral:rRNA from 1 species
AAUAGAUACCCAGGUAGUCCACGCCGUAAACAAUGAGUGCUAAGUGUUAGGGGGGUUUCCGCCCCUUAGUGCUGCAGCUAACGCAUUAAGCACUCCGCCUGGGGAGUACGGUCGCAAGACUGAAACUCAAAGGAAUUGACGGGGGCCCGCACAAGCGGUGGAGCAUGUGGUUUAAUUCGAAGCAACGCGAAGAACCUUACCAGGUCUUGACAUCCCGCUGACCGCUAUGGAGACAUAGCUUUCCCUUCGGGGACAGCGGUGACAGGUGGUGCAUGGUUGUCGUCAGCUCGUGUCGUGAGAUGUUGGGUUAAGUCCCGCAACGAGCGCAACCCUUGUCCUUAGUUGCCAUCAUUCAGUUGGGCACUCUAAGGAGACUGCCGGCUAAAAGUCGGAGGAAGGUGGGGAUGACGUCAAAUCAUCAUGCCCCUUAUGACCUGGGCUACACACGUGCUACAAUGGACGGUACAAACGGUUGCGAAGUCGCGAGAUGGAGCUAAUCCGAGAAAACCGUUCUCAGUUCGGAUUGCAGGCUG